rnacentral:rRNA from 1 species
UACGGGGGAGCAAGCGUUGUUCGGAUUUACUGGGCGUAAAGGGCGCGUAGGCGGUCAGCACAAGUCAGUUGUGAAAUCUCCGGGCUUAACUCGGAAAGGUCAACUGAUACUGUGCGACUAGAGUGCAGAAGGGGCAACUGGAAUUCUCGGUGUAGCGGUGAAAUGCGUAGAUAUCAGGAGGAACACCGGUGGCGAAGGCGGGUCUCUGGGCAGUAACUACUGGAGGAGCGAAAGCAUGGGGGAG